AGCAACCUGCCCAUAUCAGGGGGAUAGCCCGGAGAAAUCCGGAUUAACACCGCAUGACACUGCAUCCCGGCAUCGGGAGGCAGUUAAAUAUUCAUAGGAUAUGGAUGGGCUCGCGUGACAUUAGCUAGUUGGUGGGGUAACGGCCCACCAAGGCGACGAUGUCUAGGGGCUCUGAGAGGAGAAUCCCCCACACUGGUACUGAGACACGGACCAGACUCCUACGGGAGGCAGCAGUAAGGAAUAUUGGUCAAUGGGGGCAACCCUGAACCAGCCAUGCCGCGUGCAGGACGACUGCCCUAUGGGUUGUAAACUGCUUUUGUUAGGGAAUAAACCCCACUACGUGUAGUGGGCUGAAUGUACCUAAAGAAUAAGGAUCGGCUAACUCCGUGCCAGCAGCCGCGGUAAUACGGAGGAUCCGAGCGUUAUCCGGAUUUAUUGGGUUUAAAGGGUGCGUAGGCGGCACUUUAAGUCAGGGGUGAAAGACGGCAGCUCAACUGUCGCAGUGCCCUUGAUACUGAAGUGCUUGAAUGCGGUUGAAGACGGCGGAAUGAGACAAGUAGCGGUGAAAUGCAUAGAUAUGUCUCAGAACACCGAUUGCGAAGGCAGCUGUCUAAGCCGUUAUUGACGCUGAUGCACGAAAGCGUGGGGAUCGAACAGGAUUAGAUACCCUGGUAGUCCACGCCCUAAACGAUGAUGACUCGAUGUUUGCGAUAUACCGUAAGCGUCCAAGCGAAAGCGUUAAGUCAUCCACCUGGGGAGUACGCCCGCAAGGGUGAAACUCAAAGGAAUUGACGGGGGCCCGCACAAGCGGAGGAGCAUGUGGUUUAAUUCGAUGAUACGCGAGGAACCUUACCCGGGCUUGAAAGUUACUGAAGGAUGCAGAGACGCAUCCGUCCCUCGGGACAGGAAACUAGGUGCUGCAUGGCUGUCGUCAGCUCGUGCCGUGAGGUGUUGGGUUAAGUCCCGCAACGAGCGCAACCCCUAUGUUUAGUUGCCAGCACGUCAAGGUGGGGACUCUAAACAGACUGCCUGCGCAAGCAGAGAGGAAGGCGGGGACGACGUCAAGUCAUCAUGGCCCUUACGUCCGGGGCUACACACGUGCUACAAUGGAUGGUACAGCGGGCAGCUACACAGCAAUGUGAUGCCAAUCUCGAAAAGCCAUUCACAGUUCGGAUCGGGGUCUGCAACUCGACCCCGUGAAGUUGGAUUCGCUAGUAAUCGCGUAUCAGCAAUGACGCGGUGAAUACGUUCCC
rnacentral:rRNA from 1 species